UCCAAGUUCGGUGGAAGCGAGAUAAUCCUUCAAAGGGCUCUUCUGGGGAGUCCAGCGCUGGAGCCUGGCGGGCGCUGGACUUCAGCGAGGCCCACGGAGCCCCUUUGGGAGCCUUAGACUUCCUGGGUGGAUACGCAUCCCGGCUGCCUGCGGGGACAAAAGGUCUUCCUGAUCCCGGCAGAACCCUGUCAUUGUGUGGGGACCAGAGGAAGAUUCCCCGCUCACAAGUGUCUCGGGAGCAUCCGAAGUGUACUUUAUCCUCGGCGUACGAUAUCUCUCAGAAUGACUGGAUCUUGGCUCCUUGACAAAACUUCUACCUCACAGGAAAAUAAUGAUCAUCCAAAAAUGUUUGUUGGAUGAAAAAACAUACCAAAUACUCACAGAGACCUUCUGGCUACUUGUGUGACUAAAACAAGAGUCACAGUGACAUAACCACCAUGGACCAGGCAAGUCUGUCUGUCUGUCUCUCCCUCUCUUCCUCUCCUUAUUAGGUAGCCUGGGAUGACCUUCAGUUUGAGAGCUUUGAGCCUCUCAAGUUCUGAGAUUAUAGCUUGUGCCACAAUGCUGGAUCUCCACCUCUCUUAAAACCCUUUAUCCACAACUUUUAUCACAUCUGGUAUUCAUUACAUUUCACUUGCUCCUAGUAAUGUUGGCCUUUACCAGUGAGUACGAGUGUGUACAAAAACUCAUGUGACUGUUUAUAAAACAAAGGACAGCAGGCUUGAGAGAUGGCUUAGUGGUUAAGGUAUUUGCCUGCAAGGCUUAAGGACUGAGGUUCAACUCCCAGUACCCAUAUAAAGCCAGAUGCUCAAGAUGGCGCAUGUAUCUGGAGUUCAUUUGCAGUGGCUAGAGACCCAACUAUGCCCAUUUUCUCUAUCUGCUUCUUUCCCUCUCUCUCUUUCAAAUGAACAAAUAGAAAUUAUUUUUAAAAAACCCAAAGGACAAACUUCUUAUUAAAAAGGAAAGGGUUGCUCAUGCAGAAAUAUUUGAGAAAAAUGCUUUGUGAAGAUGAAGAAAUGCAAAGUGAAAGAAAACGUAACUCUCCCAUCAUCCCAAAUCUCCUAACAUUUACUGUCUCUUCAGUUUAAUUUUGUUCUACGUGUGCCAUACCAAUGUAUUUGUUCUGAGCAUACGGUGUAAACAGUAGUCCUAGGGGAAGCCCUGCAUGUUAUCUGGACGUUGUCUCCACAGAAAUUGACAUGUACAUGAGGCGCUGUUGGCAAACCAGCAACAAAUACCCCUCCAAGAUGGAUUUUAGAAGUGCAGAAUCUUAGGCUCUCUGCUGAAUCACAGUGUGCAUUUUGAAAGAUCCUGGGUGAUUCACGUUAAAGGUUGGCAAACUCUGACGGAUCCUUUCUAUUCAGUUCUAGAUCUUAGUUGAUAUCAAAAGUCAAAAGGCUUCAUUUUUUUUACUUGGAUUUCCCAUUAAUUGUUAACAAUGCCAUGACACUAGUAAUUUGUAGAAUUGUUGAAAUGAUUAAAGAUUAUAGAAGGUGAAAGAGUUCAUGGGGAUUUAUAAGUUGGAAAAUAGCUCUCUUAAAAGUGUGAUCAUAACUUAUUAAAUAACCAUACAAUGAUGUCAUUUUUUUUCCUAAUAAACUCUUGGUUGAUGACUGGAUUUCAAA